UGGGGAAUCUUGGACAAUGGGCGCAAGCCUGAUCCAGCCAUGCCGCGUGGAUGAUGAAGGCCUUAGGGUUGUAAAAUCCUUUCGCCGAGGACGAUAAUGACGGUACUCGGAGAAGAAGCUCCGGCUAACUUCGUGCCAGCAGCCGCGGUAAUACGAAGGGGGCUAGCGUUGUUCGGAUUUACUGGGCGUAAAGCGCGUGUAGGCGGGUCGUUAAGUUGGGGGUGAAAUCCCGAGGCUCAACCUCGGAACUGCCUUCAAAACUGGCGACCUGGACCUAAGUAGAGGCAAGUGGAAUUGCGAGUGUAGAGGUGAAAUUCGUAGAUAUUCGCAGGAACACCGGUGGCGAAGGCGACUUGCUGGACUUAUGGUGACGCUGAGACGCGAAAGCGUGGGGAGCAAACAGGAUUAGAUACCCUAGUAGUCCCUGAGCGGGCUGGCAAGGCGCAU
rnacentral:rRNA from 1 species